AUGAGGACUGAGCCAGUGCACUGGGCAAGGGCUUUCUUCCCAGUUGGUUCAAAUUGUGAGUCAGUUGACAACAACCUUUGUGAGUCAUUCAACCAUACUAUAGUUGAUGCUAGGUUUUAUCCUAUUAUUUCUAUGAAUGAAAAAAUUAGGAAGAAAGUACUUGUGAGAAUUCAGGAACAAAGAGAGAAAGAUGCCAACUUUAGAGGAAAAAUAUGCCCUGCUGUUUUUAAGAAGCUCAAGAAAAGUAUUGCUAGAACACAAUAUCUUGAAGUGCUCUGGAAUGGAGAAAUUGGAUUUGAAGUGAAGCAAGUGAAUGGAAGGGGAAGGCAGUACACCGUGGACCUGGAAAAUGGACAUGCUCUUGUGGGUACUUCCAGCUGGCAGGGCUUCCUUGCCACCAUGCAAUUAGUGCCAUCUACAAGUGCAACAAAAAUAUUGAAGAUUUUAUUGCUCCUUGCUACUUUGUUGAAGUGUUCAACAAAAUCUAUGAGCAUUGCUUACAGCCAGUGGAGGGUGAAGAGAUGUGGCCAGUGUCACCCAAUCCUAGGCCAGUGCCUCCUGCAUAUGUCAGGUUUCUAG
rnacentral:rRNA from 1 species